AACACUAACUCAGAACAAAUUAAGCAUCUCAAUGUUCUCGCGCUCCAACUCCCUUCUUCUUCCCUUGGCUUUCCCUGCGUCGUCCCCUCAAAAAAAAAAAACCAUUCCCUGCGUCGUCAGCUUCCUCGUCGAGUCGUCGGUGGUUCUGGCCUCCUCGCCAGUCGCCGGUGGGUUUCCUUUCUCGCCUCCUCUCCAGAUAAAGAUGUGGUGGUGUUGGAAUUAGAGAAUGGUGGUGGUGGUGGUGGCGAUCAUGGUGGGGUGGAGCAGGGGAGGUGGGUUGACUGUUGUUAAUUACAUUUUACUAUUGAAAAAGGAUAGAAAAAUUGGGGUUCAUGGAGACCUUUCUGCUGGCGCCACAAGCUUGUCCGUGAAUGCAUUUACAAGAAAACUUCUAGCUCCAUCACCUGCAGUAUGAUGUGACAGAUCAAAAUUCAGUCCAGAAAUGGUUGGAUAGAUGGUCAAUAUCCUGCCCAUGGAAACCAAUUUCUCCCCCAAAGAAGUCACUAACUCCAAGGUCCAAAAGAAGCAAGGGAACUCACUUGUUAUUGAUGGGUAAACAGGCAGGCCUAAGCGCAGUUUUCGCAAGGUUCCUUCCCUUUAUGAUAACAUGUCAACGCAGUCCACCUCUGAAGUAGAAAAACCUCGGCGAAAUCUGAAGAAAGUUGUAAGCCACCCCGCAGAUUUGGUGUAAGAAAAUCCACAACAUGAGCUUGAGAAGGUUAGACGUAGCCUCAGAAAAGUUCACAUCCCUGUAUCCGAAAGCUCUGUUCAGCCUCAGACUGAGAUUUCCAACUUUGAAUCGAUGGAUUCAGAUGCAGACUAAUCUUCACCGAGUUUCUGAGAUUCUUGUAACACCCAAGGAUACAGAUGAUGCUGGUGGGAUGCAGAACAACAUGAAAUCAUCUAUUAAACGAUCUCGAGAGAAUGAAAUUGCGAACAACAGAGAAUGAUUUUGAUUUUCGAAUGGAUCUAAGUGACGAAAAAAGUGAAUUGCGAACAACGAAGAAACUUGAAGCUUACGCACAUGCUGCAGAGCUCUUUAGAUUAGUCCUAGAGCUGCAGACUUGGGGGAGACUUUAUGCUCCUUGAACUUUGCUAGUCGAGUCAAGGGAAUCGAAUAUGGUCCAGCUCGCAAGUAGACAGAUUUUUCUGAGCUCCUCAAGUAUAAACAUCUGGCUAGGAAAUCAAAGCAUGAUGAAAAAGAAGCAAAGAAAUUGCAGGACAAUGUACAAUCUAUUGGCAAUAUUGUGGGUUGAGACAACAAUGGGUGGAUCCCUUAUUUAUGAGGAUAGCAAAUUUGCUAAUAUUGGCAAUAUCGCAGUAUGAAGGGUGGCACAAGCACAAGUUGCGAGAUCAAGCCAGGAAGCGCAGGAAUGUAUGGCGAUGGAGAGAUGGAUUGAUUUGGCAUCCCUAAUUUUGACGUCUGCGGAUUUGGUUUUCUCUAAGGUUGCUGAGAAAGUUUAUGCAGAUGGAAGAUCUGUCUUGACAUUCUAUAAAACCAAUGGAGUCCCAUAUAUGAUGUUGCUGCUAUCCUAACGUCAAUUCAGGUCUAUACUCCGAGGACUGCGCCUUAUGCUAGUGAGGAAAUUGAUGUGGUUCGUGAGCAAUGGGCGAAGUUUUUUUACCAGCAAGUAUUUAUUAUUGACCUGAGGAAGCUUGAUCGAGUUGGUUUAGAUGUAUAGAACAAUCUUUUAUGUUAAAAUGCAUGCGUACGUUGAAAUUGGAACGUAUGUAUAUUUAAAUGUAUUAGUACGUGCACUUUGGUUUUGGAAUAUAUACAAAACUACAGUUAUUGUUUAUAUAUUUGUUAUACAGGUUGCGAUA